GAUGAACGCUGGCGGCGUGCUUAACACAUGCAAGUCGAACGGUGAAGCAGAGCUUGCUCUGUGGAUCAGUGGCGAACGGGUGAGUAACACGUGAGCAACCUGCCCCUGACUCUGGGAUAAGCGCUGGAAACGGCGUCUAAUACUGGAUAUGAGCUGCGACCGCAUGGUCAGCAGUUGGAAAGAUUUUUCGGUCUGGGAUGGGCUCACGGCUUAUCAGCUUGUUGGUGAGGUAAUGGCUCACCAAGGCGUCGACGGGUAGCCGGCCUGAGAGGGUGACCGGCCACACUGGGACUGAGACACGGCCCAGACUCCUACGGGAGGCAGCAGGCGGGAAUAUUGCACAAUGGGCGAAAGCCUGAUGCAGCGGCGCCGCGUGAGGGAUGACGGCCUUCGGGUUGUAAACCUCUUUUAGCAGGGAAGAAGCGAAAGUGACGGUACCUGCAGAAAAAGCGCCGGCUAACUACGUG
rnacentral:rRNA from 1 species